UGGGAUCUGUUCUUACAAUAUGAACUGUCAAAAAGCAGAUGAAGUAAGCUAAAGAAGAAAGAAGUAGUGGUAAAGAGAUGGCACAGCACAACCUGCACUUGACUGCACAGAAUCCAUAAAAACAUCAGGGGACAUGAUGAGCAGAGUGGCAUGAAAGCUUCUUGAACUGUCCUGCCAGUGGAGGGGCUGGAGAGACAUGAGCAGCAGGGAGGGGACAGAACCAGAGCAGCUGAUACAAACUGGCCAAAGAGAUGUUCUAUAACAUGAUAUCAUGUGGAAAAACUAUAAAAUUGAGGAAUUUUGAAUACAGGGUGGCUGCUGCUCAGAGAUUGGCUGAUUAAUGAGAAAUUCCUUUGUGCAUCACUCAUUUUAUAGAUACAUAUGUUUAUAUUAUUAUUGUUACUUCUA